GGGGAAGGAAUUAAGGAGGCUGUGCCUCCGGGUUGCGCGAAGAGUCCAAGUCAUUUCUCAGAAACCUCCGAUAGGUGGUCCUUAGAGAAAACGCCGCCGGUGAGUAGUGAUUAAGCCUGAGGGGGGGGGGGGGACUUGAAAUCAGCCUUUGUUUUUUUCAGGAAAGGGAAUGCAUUUGGAAUCAUCUAACGCCCCCUAGUACAAAUACCCUUCCUUCUUGCUGUCAUCAGCCUUGCAGGUCUGGGUCUCGCUGCCUCGGAAUGCUUUUUUCCCCCAUUUUUGCAGGGGGCAUGGGUUUGCCUUAAUAUAGAUGAUGGCAGGCUUUACCAAAUCAGGAAGUGAAAUGCGGUAACUUUGCCAAAAUUAUCCCUCUACACGCCGGCUCGGGCUUCCUGGCAGUAGCAGAUGGUGGAGUUAGCAGGUGGAAUGAGGGGAGGUAUUCUUGAUGUAUACUGGCUGCUGGAAGUUGUAGUUUCCUGCUCAAUGGGAGGGCAAUGAAGAGUGUAACCCUUUAGUGAGCCAAAGCCCAGGAAAGGGAAAGGGCUUGGCGUAACUGGCACUCAACAAGCCGGAAGGCGAAUCGUCAGGUGGUGGGAAAGAGCGUAUUUUAUUUAUUUUUUUCAGAUAAAGCCAAAUCCUAAUGCAAACUCUACUCUUAGCAGCCAUGACCUAUGGUCCUGUCAUCUGUCUGACCUGCUCUGUGGGUUGGUGAAAUAAUUCAUUGAGAUAAGGGGGGGGGGGAGGAAUGGAAGCAAGCACCUAGAAUUAUCUUUCCUUUCUUGAGUCAGUGACCCUGUGCUCACUGCUGGCUGUGACGGCCUCAAAAUUAAGGGGUGGCUGGGAACACAGAGUUGGCCACUUGCCUCUUGGGCAUAUCAUCCAGGCAAAGAAUGUGCGCCUUACAAGGGAGGGCAACGGGCAAAGAGUUCCUCCAGAGCUUUUAUUUUCUUUUUUGAAUGUUUAUUUAUUUAUGAGAGAGAGCAUGUGAGCAGGGGAGGGGCAGAGAGAGAGGGAGACAGAAUUCCAAGCAGGCUCCGCACUGUCCGUGCAGAGCCAGAUUCAAGGCUGGAACCCUCGAACUGUGAGAUCAAGACCUGAGCCAAAAUCAAGUCAGAUGCUGAGCCUAUUGAGCUACUCAAGCAGCACCCCCCAUCCGAGGCCUUUAGUCUAGACUCCUCCCGAGCUGAGGGAGAGUUUCCUGUCUUUGCAGGUGAUGCCUCAGAGGCCUGAGCGUUUCUGAGGCAGAGAGAAGAGCUGCUUUUUAAAAGCGAAUUAAACGACGGGUCACAACACCACCACAAACAAAAACAAACACAGAAACCCACCUGAACAAAGUAGCUGGUCCAAAGAAGGUUAGGAGGCCUAGGUUUCCAUCACCCCAUUGGCAUGUCCCCGAGGCCUGUUUGCUUUCUCUGACAUCCUGUGGGCGGGGCUGGAGUUGUAUCUCUGGAGUUGUGGUUGUAUCUCUGCAGCAGUUGUAUCUCUGGAGUUGUGGUUGAUGAGGCCUGAGUAAGCCAUUCCAUUCUUGAUUGCAAACUGCAUCAGGUGCUUAACAGGGCUGCCUUUAGCCAGUCAGGAGGUAUAGAUGGAGGUCACCAUGCCAGGCCCUGGGCCGGAUCUUGGCAAGGGAUGAACAGGGGAUUCAGCAAACGCCUUCCCAGAGUUUGUGCCCCAGUGCCUCUCCGGCUCCAGCUUGCAAGCCUCUAACGGUCUCUCGGAGGUCUGUCCCUGGGCCACUCUUCCUUCCUAAGGCUACUAUAUUCAAAACAUUAAAAUACAUAAAUUUAACCCAAUAAUGCUUUUCACCCACACAUGAAAGUAUCUGAAGAAUAAUUAUGCUUUUCACAAGAUUGCAAAUACUUUACAGUCAGGGAGGUUUGAUUAUGGGAUGUGAGUUAUAAAAUUGAUGAGUGUACCCUGUACGUAUUGUAUAUAUAUGGCAUGUAUAUCUAUGUAAUUAAGGUAUUGACUAUAUACUGAAUGUGUAACCUCAUCUGGAGAUAGCAACAAGAUUUAAUUUUGAGGCCCUUCAACAAAGUGAGACCUGGGCUAAAUGGUCUUCGUGGCUGCCCCUGUGCCAAGCCCUGCGUCUCGUGUCUCCUAGAUGCUGGACGCAGUGUUAGCCCUGUGACAUAUGACUCCUACCAGGAACUAGCAUUCCUGGGGAGAGGGCUAGAUAACAGAAGGAACUGGAAGUCACAGGACAAAGAGCAACUUUGUCCUCAAGCCUGAAGCCUUGAGGCAUAGCAGAGGCUGUGUCUGUUUGGCAUAUAGUAAGCCCUCAAUAAAUGUAGCAUGGGGCGCCUGGGUGGCGCAGUCGGUUAAGCGUCCGACUUCAGCCAGGUCACGAUCUCGCGGUCCGUGAGUUCGAGCCCCGCGUCAGGCUCUGGGCUGAUGGCUCGGAGCCUGGAGCCUGUUUCCGAUUCUGUGUCUCCCUCUCUCUCUGCCCCUCCCCCGUUCAUGCUCUGUCUCUCUCUGUCCCAAAAAUAAAUAAACGUUGAAAAAAAAAAAUUAAAAAAAAUAAAUAAAUAAAAAUAAAUGUAGCAUGAAUGCAUGAAAGAAAGGAAUAUUUGUGGGUAAAUUAAAUAAUUAAACUGAUAAGAAUAAAAUUAAUAACAGCUGCCAUCCAUUGGCCAUUUGUUAUGCAUCGCAUUUUACACGCAUUAUCUCAUCAAAUUCUCGCAACAGCCCUGUGGGGGUAGAAAUGUUAUUAUCUGAUUAUCUGUAUUUUCCAGCAGAGAAAACUGCCUGGAAAGUUAAAUGCCUUGGCCAAGGCAAACAGGUAGCAUAUAACAGAUCAAAAGCUAUUUAUAACAUUUUUUAAAUUGAAAUGAGCAUGUCGUAUGCAUACAAAUUUGUAUGGUUGAUUUUUUUCUUUCUUUUCUACUAUAAGAAGACUUCAAAGAACCCUUAGCGUUGUGGUAAGGUGUUUUUGGCCAGGCCUUCCAGAACCCUAGGAGCAUACUUCAUCUUUCUUCUCCAUUUGGUAGAAAAGCUUGACACGCAUUGAAAAUAUCAGUCCGAUAAAGUCAACGGGAAUGACUGUCAUUGACGAUCUUACUUGAAGCCACAUUAUUACCCCCACUUUACAGAUGAGGCACCUGAGUCUCCCAGAGGUGGUAUGAUCCGGUCACACAGGUCUUCUCCCAGGGUCCAGUGUUACCUCACCUGUGCUAGGCUGACUUUCAGGUAGCAGCCCAGUUCUCCCACCAUUCGUGAAGAUAGCUUUUCUUCUCGUUCUUUCAUUCCGAUAUCGAACACAGGUGGUUCCUUUAUUAUGACAGCAGGAUAUUUUUUGGAGGCCUGGAGAGGCAGACAAGACAAUCUUUUACUUCUUAUGUAGGGGAGCCUAUGGAAAAGGUAGGAUUUCAGUUAGGAGAUGACGGGAAGAAGGAAGCCGGGGGNGGGGGGGGGGGGGGGGGGGGGGGGGGGAGGGGGGGGGGGGGGGGGGGGGGGGGGGGGGGUGGGGAGCAAAAAGGCGAUUAGAAACAAAAUUUUUUUAACUGUUUAAUUAAUUUUUUUAAUGUUUAUUUAUUUUUGAGAGGUUAAGAGAGAGCGAGCACAAGUGGGGUCGGGGCAGAGAAAGAGGGGGACAGAGUAUCCAAAGUGGGUUGUGCACUGACAACAGAGAGCCCCAUGUGGGGCUCAAGCUCUUAAACUGUGAGAUCAUGACCUGAGCCGAAGUCAGACGCAUAACCCACUGAGCCACCCAGAUGCCCCUAAUUAUUUUUGAGAGAGAGAGAGAAUCCCAAGCAGGCUCCAUGCUGUCAGUGCAGAGCCUAACGUGGGGGGGNNNNNNNNNNNNNNNNNNNNNNNNNNNNNNNNNNNNNNNNNNNNNNNNNNNNNNNNNNNNNNNNNNNNNNNNNNNNNNNNNNNNNNNNNNNNNNGGUCAGUGAGUUCGAGCCCCACGUCGGGAUCUGGGCUGACAGCUCAGCGCCUGGGCCUCCUUUGGAUUCUGUGUCUCCCUCUCUCUCUCUGGUCCUCCCCUACUCACACUCUGUCUCUCUCUCAAAAAUAAACAUUAAAAAAAAUAUAUUCUAAAAGAGUCAGAUGCUUAACCAACUGAGCCACCAGGUGCCCUGAGGAAAGGUAAUUUUUAAGGGCCAGGGAAAAAGGUUUUGAGGUAGAUGAGCCAUGUCUUUAUUAUUAUUUAUUUAUUUUUAUUACUUUUUUAAUGUUUAUUUUUUUAAUUUUUUGUCUACCUUUUAUUUAUAUUUGAGAGAGAGAGAGAGAGAGAGAGAGAGAGACAGAGCACAAGUGGGGGAGGGGCAGAGAGAGGGAGACACAGAAUCUGAAGCAGGCUCCAGGCUCCCAGCUGUCAGCACAGAGCCCGAUGCGGGGCUUGAACCCAGGAACCGUGAGANUUUUUAUUACUUUUUUAAUGUUUAUUUUUUUAAUUUUUUGUCUACCUUUUAUUUAUAUUUGAGAGAGAGAGAGAGAGAGAGAGAGAGACAGAGCACAAGUGGGGGAGGGGCAGAGAGAGGGAGACACAGAAUCUGAAGCAGGCUCCAGGCUCCCAGCUGUCAGCACAGAGCCUGAUGCGGGACUUGAACCCAGGAACCGUGAGAUCAUGACCUGAGCUGAAGUCGGACGCUCAAUGGACUGAGCCACCCAGGCGCCCCUUUAAUGUUUAUUUUUGAGAGAGAGAGAGACAGAGUGUGAGCAGGGGAGGCACAGAGAGAGAGGGAGACACAGAAUCUGAAACAGUCUCCAGGCUCCAAGCUGUCAGCACAGAGCCCGGCCAGGGGCUGGAACUCACAAACCGUGAGACCCUGACCUGAGCUGAAGUCAGCUCCUUAAUCCGCUGAGCCACCCAGGCAUCCUGAGCCAUGUCUUUAUUAGGGGAGGCCAAAGGCAUGAUAUAAUUUUGUAAAUGACUUCACUUCUCAUGACGGCUUGCGUUUUGUCCUCAAAGUAUAUCUCCCCUUGGGUGAUCAAGCUGGGCUCACUGUACUUGCAUUGUUCAUGUUCCUCCCCACCACCCUAGGGCGCCGCCAGGAUAAGGAAUCGCACCCUCGCCUGCCUGCUUGGGAGAGACAGAACCUGGCACUUCUCGGGGUGAAGGUGAGGGAGAGGCUGUAAAUCAGCCAGAAGAGCCUCGAAGUCCUCCAACGGCCCCGUGAAAGGAGGUGACCCCCGCCAGGAGAGAUGGUCUCCGGGUUCGGCCCCGCCUAGCGGCAGCUCCAGCUUCCCAGAGAAUGUUCCACUAGCGCCAUGGACCGAGCCCGCGGUGCGGCCCUGCAGCUGCGCCCGCUCCCNN
rnacentral:lncRNA from 1 species